AGACAGCAGUCGCCGCGGGAAAACGGAGGGUGCAAGCGUUAAUCGGAAUUACUGGGCGUAGAGCGCACGCAGGCGGUCUGACAAGUCAGAUGUGAAAUCCCCGGGCUUAACCUGGGAACUGCAUUUGAAACUGUCAGGCUGGAGUCUUGUAGAGGGGGGUGGAAUUCCAGGUGUAGCGGUGAAAUGCGUAGAGAUCUGGAGGAAUACCGGUGGCGAAGGCGGCCCCCUGGACAAAGACUGACGCUCAGGUGCGAAAGCGUGGGGAGCAAACAGGAUUAGAUACCCCAGUAGUCCCUGUCUCUUAUAC
rnacentral:rRNA from 1 species